UACGGAGGGUGCAAGCGUUGUCCGGAUUUAUUGGGUUUAAAGGGUGCGUAGGCGGCCCGUUAAGUCAGUGGUGAAAGCCUCCAGCUCAACUGGAGAACUGCCAUUGAUACUGGCGGGCUUGAGUACAGACGAGGUAGGCGGAAUUGAUUGUGUAGCGGUGAAAUGCAUAGAUACAAUCAAGAACACCGAUCGCGUAGGCAGCUUACUAGGCUGUAACUGACGCUGAGGCACGAAAGCGUGGGGAGCGAACAGG
rnacentral:rRNA from 1 species